rnacentral:rRNA from 1 species
UCCGCGCCGUAGCUAACGCAUUAAGUGCCCCGCCUGGGGAGUACGGCCGCAAGGCUAAAACUCAAAGGAAUUGACGGGGGCCCGCACAAGCGGCGGAGCAUGCGGAUUAAUUCGAUGCAACGCGAAGAACCUUACCAAGGCUUGACAUGUGCCGGUCGGCUCCGGAGACGGGGUUUCCUCCUUGUGGGGCCGGUUCACAGGUGGUGCAUGGUUGUCGUCAGCUCGUGUCGUGAGAUGUUGGGUUAAGUCCCGCAACGAGCGCAACCCUUGUCUCGUGUUGCCAGCACGUUGUGGUGGGGACUCGCGGGAGACUGCCGGGGUCAACUCGGAGGAAGGUGGGGAUGACGUCAAAUCAUCAUGCCCCUUAUGUCUUGGGCUUCACGCAUGCUACAAUGGCCGGUACAGAGGGCUGCGAUACUGUGAGGUGGAGCGAAUCCCUUAAAGCCGGUCUCAGUUCGGAUCGGUGUCUGCAACUCGACACCGUGAAGUUGGAGUCGCUAGUAAUCGCAGAUCAGCAACGCUGCGGUGAAUACGUUCUCG